GUUGGCGUGGCAGAGCCUGGUUUAUGCAAUCGGCCUAAGAUCGACUAACGGAGACUCACAUUCUCCCGCUAACC
rnacentral:tRNA from 1 species